rnacentral:rRNA from 1 species
AGUGAACGCUGGCGGCGUGCUUAACACAUGCAAGUCGAACGAGAACGGUCCUAGCUUGCUAGGAUGUCAGCUAAGUGGCGCACGGGUGAGUAAUGUAUAGUUUAUCUGCCUCUUGGAGAGGGAUAGCCAUUGGAAACGAUGAUUAAUACCUCAUACUCCUAUGUCCGUAAGGGAUAUAGGGAAACGUCUUUUCGCCAAGAGAUGAGACUAUAUGGCAUCAGGUAGUUGGUAGGGUAAUGGCCUACCAAGCCUAUGACGCCUAGCUGGUCUGAGAGGAUGAUCAGCCACACUGGAACUGAGACACGGUCCAGACUCCUACGGGAGGCAGCAGUGGGGAAUAUUGCACAAUGGAGGAAACUCUGAUGCAGCAACGCCGCGUGGAGGAUGACGCAUUUCGGUGUGUAAACUCCUUUUAUAUGGGAAGAUAAUGACGGUACCAUAUGAAUAAGCACCGGCUAACUCCGUGCCAGCAGCCGCGGUAAUACGGAGGGGGUUAGCGUUGUUCGGAAUUACUGGGCGUAAAGAGUACGUAGGCGGAUUAGUAAGUUAGGGGUGAAAUCCCAGGGCUCAACCCUGGAACUGCCUCUAAAACUGCUAGUCUUGAGUUCGAGAGAGGUGAGUGGAAUUCCAAGUGUAGAGGUGAAAUUCGUAGAUAUUUGGAGGAACACCAGUGGCGAAGGCGGCUCACUGGCUCGAUACUGACGCUGAGGUACGAAAGUGUGGGGAGCAAACAGGAUUAGAUACCCUGGUAGUCCACACCGUAAACGAUGAAUGCCAGUCGUCAGCAAGCAUGCUUGUUGGUGACGCACUUAACGGAGUAAGCAUUCCGCCUGGGGAGUACGGUCGCAAGAUUAAAACUCAAAGGAAUAGACGGGGACCCGCACAAGUGGUGGAGCAUGUGGUUUAAUUCGAAGAUACGCGAAGAACCUUACCUAGCCUUGACAUAUAUUAGAACUCCGCAGAGAUGCAGAGGUGCCUUCGGGAGCUUUUAUACAGGUGCUGCACGGCUGUCGUCAGCUCGUGUCGUGAGAUGUUGGGUUAAGUCCCGCAACGAGCGCAACCCUCGUCACUAGUUACUAACGGUUCGGCCGAGGACUCUAGUGAGACUGCCUUCGUAAGGAGGAGGAAGGUGAGGACGACGUCAAGUCAUCAUGGCCCUUACGGCUAGGGCAACACACGUGCUACAAUGGUUGGGACAGUGAGACGCGAUACCGUGAGGUGGAGCAAAUCUAUAAACCCAAUCUCAGUUCGGAUUGUAGUCUGCAACUCGACUACAUGAAGCUGGAAUCACUAGUAAUCGUAGAUCAGCUAUGCUACGGUGAAUACGUUCCCGGGUCUUGUACUCACCGCCCGUCACACCAUGGGAGUUGAUUUCACCCGAAGCGGGGAAGCUAAACUGGCUACCCUCCACGGUGGAAUUAGCGACUGGGGUG